rnacentral:rRNA from 1 species
AACGAACGCUGGCGGCAUGCCUAACACAUGCAAGUCGAACGAGACCUUCGGGUCUUGUGGCGCACGGGUGCGUAACGCGUGGGAACCUGCCCUUAGGUUCGGAAUAACUCCCCGAAAGGGGUGCUAAUACCGGAUAAUGUCUUCGGACCAAAGAUUUAUCGCCUUUGGAUGGGCCCGCGUUGGAUUAGCUAGUUGGUAGGGUAAAAGCCUACCAAGGCGACGAUCCAUAGCUGGUCUGAGAGGAUGAUCAGCCACACUGGGACUGAGACACGGCCCAGACUCCUACGGGAGGCAGCAGUGGGGAAUAUUGGACAAUGGGCGAAAGCCUGAUCCAGCAAUGCCGCGUGAGUGAUGAAGGCCUUAGGGUUGUAAAGCUCUUUUACCCGGGAUGAUAAUGACAGUACCGGGAGAAUAAGCGCCGGCUAACUCCGUG